CCUAGAUUCCCCGAGCGCCGCCACCCCCAAGCCCCCUCUGCUUCUCCUUCUUCUGCGGCGCCGCCGCCGCCGCCGGCCCACCGCCGCCUGCCAGACGCCGCCCUCCUUCCUUAUCCGGUCCUCCCUCACCGGAUCUGUGCCCUGGAGCCGAUCCGCACUGCCCGCUCACAGACACGAAACGGGCCUAGCCCUAGCUGCGCCCUUGCGUCUCCUUCCCUUAGCGCCGCCACCUCGCUUCACAUCCGGCAACGGCAGGCACAAAUCCUCCAUGCGGCCGCCGGUGAUGGAAUCAUCCACGCGCGCACUUCCAGGAUCUUACGCGUGCGCCGCCAUGGGUAUGGGCUCCUGUGCCUCGAAGGGAGGCUACCAGCCGCCGUAGACUCCUCCGAGCAGGAUGGAUCCAAGGAGGGACGAAUCCAUGGAGGUCCAGAUGCGGCGUCACCUCCUCGCACUGACGGUGAUGGUGAUCAUCCGGAUGCUAUGUCAGGAAUAUAAUGAGGCCCUCAAUCGCACACUCUGGAGGAACUAGAUAUGUAUGUUUACCUAUUCCCUCCGUCCUUUGAUGGUUUAGAUUAGACUUUCAGUACUGAAACAUUGAUUGAGACUUUCGAAUUUUGAUUCUUAUGCAUUGGGGUCAGGUUAUCUAUUAUUUAUGUGGGAUGUGAUAUCUACUUUCUUAUGUGGGAUUGCUACUUUGCUAGGGCAUCUGGCUAUUAGAUAAAAUGUGAUACUGCCUUCUAUGUUUUGUGAAUACAGUUUGGAACUCUUAAACCAUGUUAGCUACUCUUUAGUACACAUGUUUCUUGCUAAAAAGGUAAUGGGAGCUAGCACUUUUUGAACUAAAUAUGUUGGUGAUUAAUCCCCUUUUACUUUGAUCUCGAUGACUGUCUAAGCUGGCCUGUACUCUGUUUCUUCUAAUUAGUAUUCUUAUGUAGCAAGCCUAGUACCAGGGAGUUGUCUGCUUGCGUGAACUGUAGUAGUAUGAGGAAGGCCUAUUGCUACCCAUAAUAAAAGUAGUUUGUGAAACUGCUGCAUGUGGCAAUCAAUUGCAAAAGUAUAUACUACUGUUUUUCAUGGAAAAUUUAUUUGGUUGCAGGAAUUGUUGAGACGUUUCCCUAAAACUGUCGAAUUCUUCUCUUAUAUGUUCAUCUUAUUUCAUCCAUAUCUAAUGGUGACAGUUCAAGUGCAUUUCAUUUUCUGAAAUAUUGAAUCACUUUUCUUUCAGGAAAGCGACUUAGCUCAGGAUAUUCAGCCCAUUUCUUCUUCAACUCCGUGUCAUGGAGCCAAAAAGCUGCAGCCAGAAGAAAAGGAGAGGUGCAUGGGCAGUUGAUCCUGAUAAUGGUAACAUGUUGAUUCUGUUGUCCAUCUCAAACAAAAGAGGAGAUUUUGAUGAUGAUGCUUCUACCAUAUGUUCUCGAUGAGUGUUGAGGUGAAUUGAACUCUUAAAGGAUUUUUUUCUGAUUAGUUGAGCUUUCAGUAUUAUUCCUUUGCAUGUUUCAGCAAUGAUAGUUGUGGCGGUAGAGAAUUCUAAGGUAGUGUUGCUUCAUGUGUCUAAAGUCUAAACCUAUGUUUCUUUGAUAUGUCUCUUCUGUGCUUCAUGUGUUCUAUGCAAUUGAGUACUUGUACUAUCUUUGAUUAGCUAUUGAGUUAAUUUUGAAAUUUUUCUGGUUAUUUUGACAGUAUCUUUGAUAUGUCUCUUCUGUGCUUCUGUGGGUCAGUUAUACCCUGACCUACUUUAACUUCUUUUCUGUUUUUUCUUUGACUUCUAAACCUAUGUUUGCAGUGAAUCAAUUUGGCAUCCAUGUGGGUAAGUUAUCACUGAAUGAACGCAUUUGUCCGUUGUACCUUUUACAAUAAAUGGAAAUGUGUAUUACGCUAUUAUCUUUUAACAUAUGUGCUUGUGUCUGAUGUGAUAUAUCAACAAUUAUGUCUAGACUUGACUGCUUGCUGCAAUUCAAUAAAAUGGACAUGUAGCAACAAUUAUGUCUUAGUACGCUAAAAAAAACAAUCACUCCCUCCAUACUCGAAAAGAAUGUCGUUUUGGACAAAGUUUGGGUCAAACAUUGGGAACAUAAAUCAUGAAUAACUUUUAAGUUGUUGAGUUUCAAAAUACAAAAAUCAUAUGAAUAGAUUUGUCUUGAAAAAUACUUUCACAAAAGUAUAAAUAUAUCGCUUUGCAAUAAAUAUUUUUAUAAAAAUAAGCAGUAAAAGUUAAGCUUUGGAGACUGUGUCGCUGUCCAAAACGACAUUCUUUUCGAGUAUGUGGGGAGUAUGUCUUAGACUUGACUGCUUGUUGCAAUUGUCUGAACACUUGAAGUUGUUUUUUGCAGCAUCUAUCUUUUUGGCAAGAAAUAACUGAAGUGUCCAUCCUUGCCUACUUGUAAAAAUCUGAUCCCUAGCUGGCAGUCCUAUUUUUGUAAUUUUAUUGGAGUCAGCCACACAGUCAACAUGACCAGGAACAAAAAUAGAGCUUACAAGCUUUCAGCCUCUUGUGAGAAGCUUUGUUUCAACUUAUUUUUGAUUGGGAUCCAUAAGACAAUCUAGUGUCUUGAUAUUUAUGUAUGUGUGGAAAUUUGUAUGGACAGAGAAUUCAAGCCCUAUUCAAGGGUUAUUUCAUUUUUAUGAACACUGUGUUUAAUAUAUAAUACUUAUGAUGCAAAA